UACGUAGGGCGCAAGCGUUGUCCGGAAUUAUUGGGCGUAAAGAGCUCGUAGGCGGCUUGUCACGUCGGGCGUGAAAGCCCGGGACUUAACCCCGGGUCUGCAUUCGAUACGGGCUAGCUAGAGUGUGGUAGGGGAGAUCGGAAUUCCUGGUGUAGCGGUGAAAUGCGCAGAUAUCAGGAAGAACACCCGUGGCGAAGGCGGCUCUCUGGGACGGUACUGACGCUGAGACGCGAAAGCGUGGGGAGCGAACAGG
rnacentral:rRNA from 1 species